GCCUAUGAUGAUGUUAUCCAAUUAGUAGUUGAGAUGUAGUGGAACUGAGACCCUGUUUACAGGGAGAACCCCUUGGGGAAACUAUAUUCGGAUGACAAUAAUGGAUCUAACUGAGGG